rnacentral:rRNA from 1 species
UACGUAGGGUGCGAGCGUUGUCCGGAAUUAUUGGGCGUAAAGAGCUUGUAGGCGGUUUGUCGCGUCUGCUGUGAAAAUCCGGGGCUCAACCCCGGACUUGCAGUGGGUACGGGCAGACUAGAGUGUGGUAGGGGAGACUGGAAUUCCUGGUGUGGCGGUGGAAUGCGCAGAUAUCAGGAGGAACACCGAUGGCGAAGGCAGGUCUCUGGGCCACUACUGACGCUGAGGCGCGAAAGCUAGGGGAGCAAACAGG